GUCCACGCCCUAAACGAUGUCAACUGGUUGUUGGGGAAGGUAACUUCCUUAGUAACGAAGCUAACGCGUGAAGUUGACCGCCUGGGGAGUACGGCCGCAAGGUUAAAACUCAAAGGAAUUGACGGGGACCCGCACAAGCGGUGGAUGAUGUGGAUUAAUUCGAUGCAACGCGAAGAACCUUACCUACCCUUGACAUGUGAGGAACGCUGCUGAGAGGUGGCGGUGCCCGAAAGGGAACCUCAACACAGGUGCUGCAUGGCUGUCGU
rnacentral:rRNA from 1 species